UACCAGCACCCCGAGUGGUCGGGACGUUUAUUGGGCCUAAAGCAUCCGUAGCCGGUUCUACAAGUCUUCCGUUAAAUCCACCUGCUUAACAGAUGGGCUGCGUAAGAUACUAUGGAGCUAGGAGGCGGGAGAGGCAAGCGGUACUCGAUGGGUAGGGUUAAAAUCCGUUGAUCCAUUGAAGACCACCAGUGGCGAAGGCGGCUUGCCAGAACGCGCUCGACGGUGAGGGAUGAAAGCUGGGGGAGCAAACCGG
rnacentral:rRNA from 1 species